GGGGUAAACCUGCGAAACUCGAAUGAACGAACGGAGAGAUUCAUCGUCAUUCCGGGGCGUACGCGCGCGCUCCACGAUGCGGACGGUGCGCCUCGUGCGUUUCCGUUCGCACGGGACGCGUGCGUCAGACGUCCUCGGACGGCGUGCACUUCUCUCUCAGUAAUGCAUCGCGACCCGUUCCGUUAUAGUUAUCUAAGCGCCUUUCGGGAGCCCAGGACGUGUCACCUUAACCGGUUCACGUUCGCGGACCGAACUUGAUCGGGUACGUGCCGAUAACAACGGGACGGUAUUUAAAAUAUGACGACGCGCACGCGUUUUAAACGCGUCCGGCCCGACGCAAGACAACGUCGUUCGUAAUAAUCCCCCGCCCUGCCAAAGCGCGGACGGGGGUGCGGCGCGUCUGUUGUCGCAGCCGUGUCGUCUCGGACUUGUGCGCGUCGUAUUAUAUAAUGUAUGUCUGCGAUGAUUCAGUUUCGGGCACUCGCAGGACCCGUCUUGAAACACGGACCAAGGAGUCUAGCAUGUGUGCGAGUCAUUGAGUUUGUACAAUUUAAAUCAACAAAACUGAAAGGCGCAACGAAAGUGAAGGCGGACGCUCGUCGUCCGCUCAGGGAGGAUGAUCGCAACGGUCUAGGUCGUUCGAUUCGCACUCCCGAGACGUCUCGUUUCCAAUCUGUGAAUGCAGGCGCGCUC
rnacentral:rRNA from 1 species